rnacentral:lncRNA from 1 species
CCGCGGCCCCGUCCCCGCGCCUCCACCGCCUUCUUCCAGGAGGAGGGGCCGUGCGGCGCCUGCCCGGGGGCCCUCAGGCCGCAGGCGGGCGCGAGCUUCAGGGAACUUAGGGGGCUCCCGCCUCCCCGGCCACGCGAGCGGGAACAGUCUCCUCCACUCGGAGCGGCGCCAUCUUCAGCUCUGAGUCACCAGGGCUGGAAAAAUACUAGAUGCGCUACUCGUGGACUCGUGAAUACACUCGUGAAUACAGGCCAUUUCCUGUACCUACAGCCACCCGCUCCACUCAUCAUGCCUUACCUGGAUGAUGCAGAAGUCCCUGGAAACAGAAGGUCUCACCCUUCUUUAUCUUUCUCAUGGCUUUCCAAGGCUCUUUAUCAUGUUACUUUCCUGCUCAGAAUUCUUUAAUGACUUGCCUCAAUGACCAGAUACAUGUGAUCUACAGUCAGCCUUCCAGCCUCAUCAUUCCUCUUCCAUUUCCUCCCCAGAAACACUGUACUUUAUGAAGCUCCUCCAAGACAGUUCAUCCAGUCCUCCAUGUUAGGAUGCAGCAACCAGGUAUAAUCUUGGAAGCAGAGACAGACCCUCACCAGACACAGUCUCCUGGGACCUUGAUCUUGGACCUUCCAGCCUCUAAAACUAGACUGGUUUAACAAGAGUCAUGUGAUCUUUCUGGUCAAUGAAAGAUAAGGGGAAGCCAGCCUGGAGUUGCUUCAGAAAGGCUGCUCUUAAACAGAAACAUAUUUGAAGAAACAGUAACUUUAUUCUGACUCUUUAUGUGUGUGGCGGAGGAAGUGAUGCCUAGAGCUACUACAGGCACUUAGGCCAUGAGGAGAACCAGUGUAAGUCAGCAAGCCAAGAUGCUAAAGACAGCAGAAUAAGAAAAUGGCAAGAAUCUUGUCCUUGAUGCUGUUGAGCUACUGAAUUAACCAGGGCUGCAACUCCCUGUAUUAGUAAGGAUUCUCCAGAGGAACAGAACCAAUAGAAUGUAUAUAUAAGUAUAUAAUAAGGAAUUAGCUCAUGCAGUUACAGAGGCUGACAAAUUCCAAUAUCUGCAGUUGGCAAGCUGGAGACUCAGGAGAACUGACGGUGUAGUCUAACGGCUAGCAGGCCCAAGAACCAGGAAAAGCUGAUUAAAGUUCAAAGGCGGGAAAAAAAAACCCAAUGUCCCAACUUGAAGGCAUUUAGGCAGGAGGAAUUCCCUCUUAUUUAUGAGACUGUCAGCCUUUUUGUUCUAUUUAGGCUAUCAAUUGUUUUGAUGAGGCCCACAACAUUAGAAAGGGCAGUGUGCUUUGCUCAGUCUAUCAAUUUCAACGUUAAACUCAUCCAGUAUAAUGUUUGAUCAACUAUCUGGGUAUGCCAUGGUUCAGUCAACUUGACACAUAAAGUUAACCAAUCGUCAAAACCCCCUACUUUUGGUUUCUUGAUAAAUAAAAUAAUAUUUAUCUUCUGUUUUAGUGGAAUAAAGGUAUGGAAAACGCUUUGAUCAGUUUCUGUCUUUUGUUGAUCUGGAAUUGCAGUAUCAUUGUGAUUAAAGAAACUAAAAUACAGUGUAAUUAGGGGAUCACAUCCAAAUUUUGCAAACCCUUUGGUAAUGUUUAGAAUAUAUUUGAUUAAUUCAUUUUCAAUUCAACAAACACCUGUUAAAUACUAACUAUAUGUCAGCUAGGUACAUGUUAUAUGUCAAUGAAAAAAAAAAGAAAAAAUUCCCCUUGUGGGGCUGACAUCUAGCAUAUAAACAAAUGGUCA